UGUUCGAGCGUCAUUAUAACCACUCAAGUUUCGACUUGGUAUUGGGGUCCGCGGUUUCGCGGCCCUUAAAAUCAGUGGCGGUGCGUCUGGCUCUAAGCGUAGUAAUUCUCUCGCUACAGAGUCUGGGUGGUUGCUUGCCAGAAUCCCCCCCACUUUUAUAGGUUGACCUCGGAUCAGGUAGGGAUACCCGCUGAACUUAA
rnacentral:misc_RNA from 1 species